AGUUAACUAGCUAUUCUGACGAGCAUCCAGGAGGAUGCAGGUUCGAUCCCUGGCCUGGGGAACUUCCACACGGCACCUGGAGGGGAAGGAAGGGGAUCUAGGAAGCACACUGGCCACCCACGGUGGGUUAGGGUCUCUCUCCAGAGGGCAUCUCCCCCAGUGUGACCCUCACUGCUCUGCAGUCUCCAGUUAAUCGGCCACGGUGUUCCUGAAAUGUCCCUGCUGAAUUUUCGCCAAAGUCACAUAAGCCAGCCGGGGUCACCUUGGUCAGCGUCCAUUCCAGCCCCAACGACCAGAUGCUGUGGGCCCUGGACAGCAGGUGGCACGUGCACGUCCGAGCUGGGAUCACCGAGGAGAUGCCAGUGGGCACCAACUGGGAGCAUGUGCCAGGGUUGCAGGCCUGCCAGCUAGCCCUGAGCGCCAGGACUGUGUGGGCCCGCUGCCCCAACGGGGACCUUGCCCGACGGUACGGCGUCACCGACAAGAACCCGGCCGGAGACUACUGGAAGAAGAUCCCUGGAAACGUGACAUGCUUCACAGUGACCUCGUCGGAUGAGCUGUGGGCAGUGGGCCCCCCCGGCUACCUCCUCCAGCGGCUGACAAGGACUUUCAGCCCUUCCCACAGUGCCCAGAGCAGCCACGCCGCCGGCCCGCACCCCGAGGACCUGGAGGACGAGUGGGAGGUCAUCUGAAGGCGCUGCUGGGACGGAGGAGGCCGGGCGCGUGUGGCGGACACAGUCGGUCUCUGACUCUCUCCCCCUCGGACUCGCCUCGCCAGCUCCUGUCCGGACACGUCCAGCCAGGUCGGCCGCCCCACACUUGCUUUCCUCCGCGUUUGCCUCCGUCUCGUUCCAGAGCCUCAGCCAGGCUGUAGAGCAGGGCCUCUGACCCCCGCGGGGCCGCGCCCGAGGGGCGGUGGCUGCUGCCAGUUGCAUGCACUACGGCUGCCACCGGGGGCUGCAGUCACCUUCUCCUCACUCACCGCUCCAGGUCCCACCGAGGGGACCCCACAAGGCGCCUCCCAUGGGCAGCGCACAGCAGAGCCAGGUUGGGGCUGCCCCCAGGAACCACGUUAGUAGCCACGGAGCUGAAGGUCAGCGCUGCCACCCACCGGACGAGUGCCGUGAUGGCUCGUCUCCAUCGCAGGGUCCCGCCACCCCCUCUCUGGGGUGCAGGUCCCAGCACAUGUUUGCACUGGACCUGUCGAUGGGGAACCAUGGCUGUGUCGAGGUGGGGCACCGGGACACACGUGACGCACGCACGCUGCACACACCCUCCCUGCCUGCUCCCAGGGUGGGCCGUGCCCGGUCCUGGAGAACACAGCUCCGCCGAAACAAUAAAGGCCAGUGGAUGAACCAGAACACGGACGUGUGCGCGUGUGUCCGAGGCCGGGACGGCGCAGGGAGCUGGGGUUGGACCUGGGGACCUUGGUCACGUGGGUAGCUUAGGGAGGUCCUUAGAGCUAAGGGACACUCAGCUCACGCUGCUGGUGGACGUCAUAAAAACCAGAGGGAGUUCCCGCCAUGGUGCAGGGGGCUCAGACUCCAACUGCAGGGGCUCGGGUCACUCUGGAGGUGCGGGUUAGAUCCCUGGCCUGGCGCGGGGGGUUAAAGAGCCAGUGUAGCCGCAGCUACAGCUUAGGUGGCAGCCGCGGCCUGGCUUCAGUCUCUGGCCUGGGAACUUCCAUGUGCCGAGGGUGUGACCAUUUAAGAAAAAGAAAGGAAAGAAAACCAGACACAUCCUCAGAGGAUGAAUCCAUUCAUUCUUGCCUUUUUUGUCUGUUGUAUUACAAACCUCCACGAGAUACCUCAUUUGAAAUCAAAUCUUACAAAUUUAGAAGAGAAAUGUAUUUUUGAAACCAGCGGAAGGCCUUUCGUUCCUUUGCAUGGUCUGUGCUGAGCCUGCAGGGCUCUGGGCUGUGGCCUCCGAGAGGGGGCGCCGCCCCGCGGGUGCUGGACCUGCGGGGCGGUCACAGGCGCUGCCUGCUGGCUCCGCGUGGCAGCCAGGCACCUCAGCGGGCAUGUGGGUCGACAGCCUCCUGGGCUGGAAAGGGAUGCCCGCCACGGUCCCGUCAGCCCUGGGGCUCGACCUCGUCUCGCUGGCCACUGGGCACCAGGCCCCGUCCCGCCCCGAGCCCCCCGUCCCCCCUCCUGGAGGCAGCCCCCCGGAGGACUCUGGCCUCGCUGCUUUUUGUGGCCUGGCCCUGGCCCGGGGCCUCGCUGCCGGUUUUCGAAGCGAGUGUGGCCGGGCCCCGGGCCGCAGGAGAAGAUGGGCCUGUGGUCUGACGGGCCGGCGGCCGAGAGGAGGGCGCUUCCCCAGGUCCCACUGAGGACAAGAUGCUCAAAUCCCACAGCUUGCUUCACGCCUGACUCUUGCAGAAUCCUUUUCGGUUUGGUGACAGCAGAGGCCGCCCCAGGCCGGCUGUGGCUCCUCUUCCGCGUACGUCGUGCCUUGCCCGGCUCCUCUCGGUGGCAGAGCGCGUCUACACGCCUGGGACUUGAGUGCAGUUAAAGCCAAGUCUGGUUGGAUUCUUCUGCCCCGCCUGCAUCUUCAGUGCUUUGUAUGGUUUUCUUGCCGGUGCCGAUUUUCGGUUGUGCUUUGAGACAGUGCGAUGAGCCAGGCGUGGCCAAGCCCAGAGGAGUCUGCUGGGCGCGCGGACGCUCGCGAAGGCCACUGUCCCGCUGGUGCCCCCCGCCUGGCCCCGCCGCCGGGAGCCUGAGUGGGCACCAUCGCAUGACCGGCUCGCCCCAGGCACCCUCCUGGGGGAGUGUCACCCCGAGGUCGCCCUGGGGAGUACUCCCAACAGGAGGCAGGGGCAGGGGCAUCUCUGGCAGAGGCCAGGACCCAGGACCAGAGGCUGGAAGCGGAAAUCGGCGCAUGGGAAAAGGUGACAUUCCUGAAGCAGGUGGACACAGAGCGUGUCCGGAAACGGCCUGAGCAGGAGUGUCAGGCUGUCGGGAGGUGGCCACGCCUGACGGAAGAUUUACAAGAAAGCCCGAAUCAGGAAGGCACGGUCGCGUCCCUGGCGGGAGACCCACCCGCAGCGCGGAGAUCCGCCCUCUCCCAAGGCCUUCCUCGGGUCACUCUGUUCGUCGAGACCCCCACUGGGGGCCUUUGGUUGGAGGGGGGCAGCGAGAGUCCCUCACAUAAUGUUCACGCCCACCACCUGUGCCGGCCGAGCUGGAGGGUCUCACACGGGCAGCUCCCCUUCUUCACCGGCAGCCAGCGGUGUGGACUCCGAGAGGUGAAGUAACCGGCUCAAGACAACACAGGGAGCGCCGGGGCCGGAACCCAGCCCUGGAGAACUCCCGCCCUGUGCCAUGUAAUGCCACCUCCCUGUCUCGGGAAAAAGAAACAGGAGAGAGCUGCCAGGCGUGAGUACAGGCCCGAGAAUGAAGUGUGGUGUGGAUGGAAGGGCCAGGGGCGUCAGGCAGCCCGGCGAGGGCCGGGGUCGGCGAGGUGGAGGCGGUAUGCGGGGUCGGGGGGCAGCUUCACAGUUGGUGUGGACUGUGACUCGGUCAUCUGGACAAAGUAAAUGUGAAAUAGAUUAAAGAAUCUUAAAACUAGGGGGCAAAAAAGAGGAUCUUAUUUCUGCAUGGCAAGCGCUCCGUAAACUCAAAAGUGAUGGGAAAUUUAGAGGAAAGUAGGUAGAGUCGAGUUCUUCAAAGUAUGAAGUUGCUGUAGAUUUAAAACCCACAUACAAUUGCAACAAGUAGGAGGAACAUCGAGGACCACGUGUGAAGCAGGUGCCUCGGGAACACGCGCCCCGGGCAGGGCGGGGGUGGAGCACGCGGGGGAGCCUCUGUGGGCACAGCCCAUCAGCAGCCUCAAAACCAUCAAACCCUUGAACUCCCGCCUCUGGAAACCCGUCCUCCAAGGGAAAAGACCCAGCAGAGCCUCGUUUAUAAUCAUGAAACACUCACAGCAGCUGACGUUGGCGAGCGUACCUCCAAGGAAACAGGACGUAGCUGUUCAAGAGCACGUGUGCCCUCGAGGAAACGUGUCUUGGGCUGCCUGCUACGGGGCGUGGUCUCCGCGUUCAGUCUCCCGGGUGGGGUGGUGAUAAAGUGGUUUUGUAGGAGAGCACGGGAGGAGGGGAGGGCGAGGGCACAUGUACGCCCUGUUCCAACUUUGGUGGGUUUGAAAUUCUUCCUAAUUCAGGGGGCACAAGAGGGCCAGAAGACACUACCCAAGCACCUGGUCACAGUGGUUGCCUGUAGUGGAUACCUUUUUGUAUCUUCUGAAUUUGAGCCAUGUAAAUGUAUUAUUUAUUCCAAAAAUAAAUAAAAUUUACAUUUUAA
ensembl:lncRNA